UACGAAGGGGGCUAGCGUUGCUCGGAAUCACUGGGCGUAAAGGGUGCGUAGGCGGGUCUUUUAAGUCAGGGGUGAAAUCCUGGAGCUCAACUCCAGAACUGCCUUUGAUACUGAAGAUCUUGAGUGCGGGAGAGGUGAGUGGAACUGCGAGUGUAGAGGUGAAAUUCGUAGAUAUUCGCAAGAACACCAGUGGCGAAGGCGGCUCACUGGCCCGAUACUGACGCUGAGGCACGAAAGCGUGGGGAGCAAACAGGG
rnacentral:rRNA from 1 species